UACAGAGGUCCCAAGCGUUGUUCGGAUUUACUGGGCGUAAAGGGUGCGUAGGCGGUUGGGUAAGUCUGACGUGAAAUCUCCGAGCCUAACCCGGAAACUGCGUUGGAUACUACCUGACUAGAGGAAUGGAGGGGAGACUGGAAUACUUGGUGUAGCAGUGAAAUGCGUAGAUAUCAAGUGGAACACCAGUGGCGAAGGCGAGUCUCUGGACAUUUCCUGACGCUGAGGCACGAAAGCCAGGGGAGCAAACGGG
rnacentral:rRNA from 1 species